CAAGAUUUCCCUUCUCCGGUGCCAACCUCCAGUAACUUGCUGUAUUCGGACAGGGCCAGCAGACACCAGGUGACCAUUUGCGUUACCCUUGGAAAAUAUUUAUUCAUUUUAUAAACUCCCUUGCAGAGAGUGAAUAAAAUCUUUUCAAGGUCUUCCACAUUUUUACUUGCACUCAGGGAGCCUUUUGGUAUAUCUUCAAGUAUGUCACGCUCACUCACUUGGAGGGCAGCAAUUCUUUUUUGGACACCUGAAACAAUGCAGCGCACCUUGUCAAGAGUUUGAAUGUCAAUGCUUCCCGACUUUUUAAUUUCCUCCAGAACAGUAUCAGGCGACUUUUCUGGUUCUUUUCUUAAGUCCUUUUCAAAUUCUUCAUACAGAUUCUCUGUACCAAGGUGGUCACUGAUCUUCUUUCCAUCUUCAUCCUGCCAGGUUGGAGGGACACGGUAGACUUCAAUCAGAUGGAGCACUUUUGUGAGGAGGACAGGAUCACUGCAACGGCUUACCAAUUCAUACAUAAAAUCCAUAGCUUCAUUUGGCUUCCAAAGACCAGACUGGACAAUCCUCAGAAGUCUACAGUUCAAUUCAGAGUAAGCUUCCUCAUUAUAGGAAUGGGUUGCUGUGGUUAGCAAGAUCUCAUAGCACUUCUUCUCCACACUUGUGAUAUCCUGUCCAUAUUUUGGCUCAUUGACUUCCCUCAGGCACUUUUGGAGAAGUUCUAGAAAUUUCAAGAGAAAGACUUCUUCUGCUGGAAGAUUCUCCAUCUUGGUCAUCAGCUUAGUAAUCUUUACAACAUGGCAGUCGACUUUUUCCAUCAUACUUUUAUAUGCUCGAAGCAAAGCUUGUGUGAAACAAAAGAUGUCAGUUACAUUUUCAGCAGCAUUGUUAAUCGUCUCCACAAGGUACUGAGCUUGGUUGGCAAUGCUCUCCUGUAGACAGUCUUCCAUCUUGAGAUUUGCAAGUAUAAAUUCUGUUACCAGUACUUGAGUAUGGACAAGAGUAAGUCUACUUGGGGGUUUUGAAGGCCACUCUUGGAAUAGUAGUGUAUCCAGGGAUUUGGAAAGGCUGUCCACCUGUUGUGGAGUAAGUGUAGCCAGUGUUAUAUUAGAAAGGUGUACUCCACUCUUGGUAGACAAGAGAUCAAGAAGAUUUUGAUCUUCAGCAUCAUGUUUUUCAAGGUCAACCUUGAUCUUUUCAAAUUCAUCAAACCGGCUCACUACAACAUCUGUUGUGGUUUUCUCUUCCAUUUUCUCACGAAAU